rnacentral:rRNA from 1 species
UACGUAGGGAGCAAGCGUUGUCCGGAAUCAUUGGGCGUAAAGCGCGCGUAGGUGGCUCUAUAAGUCCGUUGUGAAAGUCAAAGGCUCAACCUUUGAAAGCCGAUGGAUACUGUAGAGCUAGAGUCCGGAAGAGGCGAGUGGAAUUCCCGGUGUAGCGGUGAAAUGCGCAGAUAUCAGGAAGAACACCGAUGGCGAAGGCAGCUCUCUGGGACGGUACUGACGCUGAGACGCGAAAAGCGUGGGGGAGCGAACAGG